rnacentral:rRNA from 1 species
GAUGAACGCUGGCGGCGUGCCUAAUACAUGCAAGUCGAGCGAACAGACGAUGAUCUUGCUCCGCUGACGUUAGCGGCGGGCGUGUGAGUAACACGUGGAUAACCUACCUAUAUGACGGGUAUAACUUCGGGAAACCGGAUCUAAUACCAGAGAAUAUAUUGAACCGCAGGGGGCAAUAGUGAAAUACGGUUUUGCGGUCACGUAUAGAUGGAUCCGCGCCGGAUUAGCUAGUUGGUAAGGUAACGGCCUACCAAGGCAACGAUGCGUAGCCGAGCUGAGAGGGUGAUAGGCCACACUGGAACUGAGACACGGUCCAGACUCCUACGGGAGGCAGCAGUCGGGAAUCUUACGCAAUGGGCGAAAGCCUGACGGAGCAACGCCGCGUGAGUGAUGAAGGUCUUCGGAUCGUAAAACUCUGUUAUUAGGGAAGAACAAAUGUGUACGUAACUAUGCACGUCUUGACGGUACCUAAUCAGAAAGCAACGGCUAACUACGUG